CAACCUGCCCACCACUUGGGGAUAACCUUGCGAAAGUAAGACUAAUACCCAAUGACGUCUCUAGAAGACAUCUGAAGGAGAUUAAAGAUUUAUCGGUGAUGGAUGGGGAUGCGUCUGAUUAGCUUGUUGGCGGGGUAACGGCCCACCAAGGCGACGAUCAGUAGGGGUUCUGAGAGGAAGGUCCCCCACAUUGGAACUGAGACACGGUCCAAACUCCUACGGGAGGCAGCAGUGAGGAAUAUUGGUCAAUGGACGAGAGUCUGAACCAGCCAAGUAGCGUGCAGGAUGACGGCCCUAUGGGUUGUAAACUGCUUUUAUAAGGGAAUAAAGUGAGUCUCGUGAGGCUUUUUGCAUGUACCUUAUGAAUAAGGACCGGCUAAUUCCGUGCCAGCAGCCGCGGUAAUACGGAAGGUCCGGGCGUUAUCCGGAUUUAUUGGGUUUAAAGGGAGCGUAGGCCGGAGAUUAAGCGUGUUGUGAAAUGUAGACGCUCAACGUCUGCACUGCAGCGCGAACUGGUUUCCUUGAGUACGCACAGAGUGGGCGGAAUUCGUGGUGUAGCGGUGAAAUGCUUAGAUAUCACGAAGAACUCCGAUUG
rnacentral:rRNA from 1 species